rnacentral:misc_RNA from 1 species
AGGAGGAAAACGUAAUUAUGUCUUGUGAAUCCGCGCUAGAACGAAUAUGCAUCCCAGCCGGGGGGGAGAGACGCCAUGGCGUUGUUUACAUCCCGGGGCCCAGUAGCAGGUCCCAGCCUCUUCCUUCUCGGGUGAUUUCUAGAGUAAAUAAUUGAGAGAAGACUACAAGUGUGUCCCAUCCCUGAAUUGGGAGUUCCCUGCUUUGUGCUUUUAAGUCAGGCCAACAGGUUGAGACACAAGCUGUUUUGGUCAGGACUUGAGGAUGUUGACCAGAGUCCGCUAAUAUCCUUCAAUAUUUAGUGUUACAGACACCUGCUCCAAGUGAUACGCCAUGACAGAAGUGUUCCGGUUCGGCCUCGUGCCCAUCGCUUGUCGUGCCCGGAAUGAGGACCGCAGCCAAGUGGCAUUGAGUCUCAACAACAAUGAAGUGAAUAUAUAUGGCAGAGCUGCAUCAGAGUGGAAGCUUCAGGAAACACUCCAGGGUCAUGAUCUGCGUGUCACAGGCAUUGACUGGGCUCCCAGCACCAAUCGCAUUGUUACAUGUGGAGCACUUCGAGGAGGAAAACGUAAUUUUGUCUUGUGAAUCCGCGCUAGAACGAAUAUGGGGGGGGAGAGACGCCAUGGCGUUGUUUACAUCCCGGGGCCCAGUAGCAGGUCCCAGCCUCUUCCUUCUCGGGUGAUUUCUAGAGUAAAUAAUUGAGAGAAGACUACAAGUGUGUCCCAUCCCUGAAUUGGAAGUUCCCUGCUUUGUGCUUUGUUACACA